rnacentral:miRNA from 8 species
CAACUUUUGCUAGUGGCAAAGA